GGGCCCGUAGCUCAGCCAGGUAGAGCGGCGGGCUUUUAACCCGUAGGACCCGGGUUCAAAUCCCGGCGGGCCCG
rnacentral:tRNA from 1 species